CCUACGGGUGGCAGCAGUGGGGAAUAUUGGGCAAUGGGCGCAAGCCUGACCCAGCAACGCCGCGUGAAGGAAGAAGGCUUUCGGGUUGUAAACUUCUUUUAAGAGGGAAGAGCAGAAGACGGUACCUCUUGAUUAAGCCACGGCUAACUACGUGCCAGCAGCCGCGGUAAUACAUAGGUGGCAAGCGUUGUCCGGAUUUACUGGGUGUAAAGGGCGUGUAGCCGGGCUGACAAGUCAGAUGUGAAAUUCCGGGGCUCAACCCCGGACCUGCAUUUGAAACUGGUGGUCUUGAGUAUAGUAGAGGCAGGCGGAAUUCCUAGUGUAGCGGUGAAAUGCGUAGAUAUUAGGAAGAACACCGAUGGCGAAGGCAGCCUACUAGACGACGACUGACGGUGAGGCGCGAAAGCGUGGGGAGCAAACAGGAUUAGAUACCCCUGUAGUC
rnacentral:rRNA from 1 species